rnacentral:RNase_P_RNA from 1 species
UAACUGAUAAACUGAUAACUGAUAGGGUAAGGGUGCAAAGGUGCGGUAAGAGCGCACAGCAGUAUCGAGAGGUGCUGGCUCCGGUAAACCCCGGUUGGGAGCAAGGUCAAGGAACGAGGGUUGGUUUUUUCCCUGUUCCGUGUGAUGACGGGAGACAACUGCCGUCAUAGAGAGCCGCUUGAGGCAUUUGGUAACAGAUGUCCCAGAUAGAUAACUGCCCUUUGAGUGCGCUGCACUUAGAGAACAGAACCCGGCUUAUGUCUGGCUCUUCUC